AUUGAACGCUGGCGGCAGGCCUAACACAUGCAAGUCGAGCGGAUAGGGAGCUUUUGCUUGGGGUCUGCGGCGGACGGGGGAGUAAUGUCCAUGAAUCUUCGUGGUAGUGGGGGGUAACGUGUGCGAACACGCGCUCUUACCCCACACGCCCUGAGUGAGAGAGAGGGGGGUCUCCGGAGCCCACGCUAUCAGAUGAGCCUAGGUCGGAUUAGCUAGUUGGUGGGGUAUAGGCGUACCAAGGCGACGAUCCGUAACAGGUCUGAGAGGAUGAUCAGUCACACUGGAACUGAGACACGGUCCAGACUCCUACGGGAGGCAGCAGUGGGGAAUAUUGGACGAUGGGCGAAAGCCUGAUCCAGCCAUGCCGCGUGUGUGAAGAAGGUCUUCGGAUUGUAAAGCACUUUAAGUUGGGAGGAAGGGCAGUAAGUUAAUACCUUGCUGUUUUGACGUUACCAACAGAAUAAGCACCGGCUAACUUCGUG
rnacentral:rRNA from 1 species